rnacentral:rRNA from 1 species
UAAGACGUAGGUGGCGAGCGUUAUCCGGAUUUACUGGGCGUAAAGCGCGUGCAGGUGGUUCGAUAAGUCGGGCGUGAAAUCUCCUGGCUCAACUGGGAGGGGUCGUCCGAUACUAUCGGACUUGAGGGCAGUAGAGGGAGGUGGAAUUCCGGGUGUAGUGGUGAAAUGCGUAGAUAUCCGGAGGAACACCGGUGGCGAAGGCGGCCUCCUGGACUGCCCCUGACACUCAGACGCGAAGGCUAGGGGAGCGAACA